rnacentral:rRNA from 1 species
GGGUUGUGAGGUUAAGCGACUAAGCGUACACGGUGGAUGCCCUGGCAGUCAGAGGCGAUGAAGGACGUGCUAAUCUGCGAUAAGCGUCGGUAAGGUGAUAUGAACCGUUAUAACCGGCGAUUUCCGAAUGGGGAAACCCAGUGUGAUUCGUCACACUAUCAUUAACUGAAUCCAUAGGUUAAUGAGGCGAACCGGGGGAACUGAAACAUCUAAGUACCCCGAGGAAAAGAAAUCAACCGAGAUUCCCCCAGUAGCGGCGAGCGAACGGGGAGGAGCCCAGAGCCUGAAUCAGUGUGUGUGUUAGUGGAAGCGUCUGGAAAGGCGCGCGAUACAGGGUGACAGCCCCGUACACAAAAAUGCACAUACUGUGAGCUCGAUGAGUAGGGCGGGACACGUGGUAUCCUGUCUGAAUAUGGGGGGACCAUCCUCCAAGGCUAAAUACUCCUGACUGACCGAUAGUGAACCAGUACCGUGAGGGAAAGGCGAAAAGAACCCCGGCGAGGGGAGUGAAAAAGAACCUGAAACCGUGUACGUACAAGCAGUGGGAGCACAGAGCAAUCUGUGUGACUGCGUACCUUUUGUAUAAUGGGUCAGCGACUUAUAUUCUGUAGCAAGGUUAACCGAAUAGGGGAGCCGAAGGGAAACCGAGUCUUAACUGGGCGUUAAGUUGCAGGGUAUAGACCCGAAACCCGGUGAUCUAGCCAUGGGCAGGUUGAAGGUUGGGUAACACUAACUGGAGGACCGAACCGACUAAUGUUGAAAAAUUAGCGGAUGACUUGUGGCUGGGGGUGAAAGGCCAAUCAAACCGGGAGAUAGCUGGUUCUCCCCGAAAGCUAUUUAGGUAGCGCCUCGUGAAUUCAUCUCCGGGGGUAGAGCACUGUUUCGGCAAGGGGGUCAUCCCGACUUACCAACCCGAUGCAAACUGCGAAUACCGGAGAAUGUUAUCACGGGAGACACACGGCGGGUGCUAACGUCCGUCGUGAAGAGGGAAACAACCCAGACCGCCAGCUAAGGUCCCAAAGUCAUGGUUAAGUGGGAAACGAUGUGGGAAGGCCCAGACAGCCAGGAUGUUGGCUUAGAAGCAGCCAUCAUUUAAAGAAAGCGUAAUAGCUCACUGGUCGAGUCGGCCUGCGCGGAAGAUGUAACGGGGCUAAACCAUGCACCGAAGCUGCGGCAGCGACGCUGAUGCGUUGUUGGGUAGGGGAGCGUUCUGUAAGCCUGUGAAGGUGUGCUGUGAGGCAUGCUGGAGGUAUCAGAAGUGCGAAUGCUGACAUAAGUAACGAUAAAGCGGGUGAAAAGCCCGCUCGCCGGAAGACCAAGGGUUCCUGUCCAACGUUAAUCGGGGCAGGGUGAGUCGACCCCUAAGGCGAGGCCGAAAGGCGUAGUCGAUGGGAAACAGGUUAAUAUUCCUGUACUUGGUGUUACUGCGAAGGGGGGACGGAGAAGGCUAUGUUGGCCGGGCGACGGUUGUCCCGGUUUAAGCGUGUAGGCUGGUUUUCCAGGCAAAUCCGGAAAAUCAAGGCUGAGGCGUGAUGACGAGGCACUACGGUGCUGAAGCAACAAAUGCCCUGCUUCCAGGAAAAGCCUCUAAGCAUCAGGUAACAUCAAAUCGUACCCCAAACCGACACAGGUGGUCAGGUAGAGAAUACCAAGGCGCUUGAGAGAACUCGGGUGAAGGAACUAGGCAAAAUGGUGCCGUAACUUCGGGAGAAGGCACGCUGAUAUGUAGGUGAAGUCCCUCGCGGAUGGAGCUGAAAUCAGUCGAAGAUACCAGCUGGCUGCAACUGUUUAUUAAAAACACAGCACUGUGCAAACACGAAAGUGGACGUAUACGGUGUGACGCCUGCCCGGUGCCGGAAGGUUAAUUGAUGGGGUCAGCGCAAGCGAAGCUCUUGAUCGAAGCCCCGGUAAACGGCGGCCGUAACUAUAACGGUCCUAAGGUAGCGAAAUUCCUUGUCGGGUAAGUUCCGACCUGCACGAAUGGCGUAAUGAUGGCCAGGCUGUCUCCACCCGAGACUCAGUGAAAUUGAACUCGCUGUGAAGAUGCAGUGUACCCGCGGCAAGACGGAAAGACCCCGUGAACCUUUACUAUAGCUUGACACUGAACAUUGAGCCUUGAUGUGUAGGAUAGGUGGGAGGCUUUGAAGUGUGGACGCCAGUCUGCAUGGAGCCGACCUUGAAAUACCACCCUUUAAUGUUUGAUGUUCUAACGUUGACCCGUGAUCCGGGUUGCGGACAGUGUCUGGUGGGUAGUUUGACUGGGGCGGUCUCCUCCUAAAGAGUAACGGAGGAGCACGAAGGUUGGCUAAUCCUGGUCGGACAUCAGGAGGUUAGUGCAAUGGCAUAAGCCAGCUUGACUGCGAGCGUGACGGCGCGAGCAGGUGCGAAAGCAGGUCAUAGUGAUCCGGUGGUUCUGAAUGGAAGGGCCAUCGCUCAACGGAUAAAAGGUACUCCGGGGAUAACAGGCUGAUACCGCCCAAGAGUUCAUAUCGACGGCGGUGUUUGGCACCUCGAUGUCGGCUCAUCACAUCCUGGGGCUGAAGUAGGUCCCAAGGGUAUGGCUGUUCGCCAUUUAAAGUGGUACGCGAGCUGGGUUUAGAACGUCGUGAGACAGUUCGGUCCCUAUCUGCCGUGGGCGCUGGAGAACUGAGGGGGGCUGCUCCUAGUACGAGAGGACCGGAGUGGACGCAUCACUGGUGUUCGGGUUGUCAUGCCAAUGGCACUGCCCGGUAGCUAAAUGCGGAAGAGAUAAGUGCUGAAAGCAUCUAAGCACGAAACUUGCCCCGAGAUGAGUUCUCCCUGACCCUUUAAGGGUCCUGAAGGAACGUUGAAGACGACGACGUUGAUAGGCCGGGUGUGUAAGCGCAGCGAUGCGUUGAGCUAACCGGUACUAAUGAACCGUGAGGCUUAACCUUACAACGCCGAAGGUGUUU